rnacentral:rRNA from 1 species
UACGAAGGGUGCAAGCGUUAAUCGGAAUUACUGGGCGUAAAGCGCGCGUAGGUGGUUCAGCAAGUUGGAUGUGAAAUCCCCGGGCUCAACCUGGGAACUGCAUCCAAAACUACUGAGCUAGAGUACGGUAGAGGGUGGUGGAAUUUCCUGUGUAGCGGUGAAAUGCGUAGAUAUAGGAAGGAACACCAGUGGCGAAGGCGACCACCUGGACUGAUACUGACACUGAGGUGCGAAAGCGUGGGGGAGCAAACAGG